rnacentral:rRNA from 1 species
UACGUAGGGACCGAGCGUUGUCCGGAUUCAUUGGGCGUAAAGAGCUCGUAGGCGGCUGCUCAAGUCGAAUGUGAAAACUCGAGGCUCAACCUCGAGCCUGCAUUCGAUACUGGGCGGCUAGAGUCUGGUAGGGGGAUCUGGAAUUCCUGGUGUAGCGGUGGAAUGCGCAGAUAUCAGGAGGAACACCGGUGGCGAAGGCAGCCCCCUGGGUCAAGACUGACGCUCAUGCACGGAAAGCGUGGGGAGCAAACAGG